GACAGAGGGUGCAAACGUUGUUCGGAAUUACUGGGCGUAAAGCGCGUGUAGGCGGCCCUGCAAGUCGGAUGUGAAAUCCCACGGCUCAACCGUGGAAGUGCAUUCGAAACUGCAGGGGCUAGAGUCCUGGAGAGGAAGGUGGAAUGCUUGGUGUAGAGGUGAAAUUCGUAGAUAUCAAGCGGAACACCGGUGGCGAAGGCGGCCUUCUGGACAGUGACUGACGCUGAGACGCGAAAGCGUGGGGAGCAAACAGGG
rnacentral:rRNA from 1 species